rnacentral:rRNA from 1 species
CAGUCGCCGCGGUAAUACGGAGGGUGCAAGCGUUAAUCGGAAUUACUGGGCGUAAAGCGUGCGUAGGCGGUUCGUUAAGUCUGUUGUGAAAGCCCCGGGCUCAACCUGGGAAUGGCAAUGGAUACUGGCGAGCUAGAGUGUGUCAGAGGAUGGUGGAAUUCCCGGUGUAGCGGUGAAAUGCGUAGAGAUCGGGAGGAACAUCAGUGGCGAAGGCGGCCAUCUGGGACAACACUGACGCUGAGGCACGAAAGCGUGGGGAGCAAACAGGAUUAGAUACCCGCGUAGUCCCUGUCUCUUAUAC